GAUGAAGAACGCAGCGAAAUGCGAUAAGUAGUGUGAAUUGCAGAAUUCAGUGAAUCAUCGAAUCUUUGAACGCACAUUGCGCCCCUUGGUAUUCCAUGGGGCAUGCCUGUUCGAGCGUCAUUUGUACCUUCAAGCUUUGCUUGGUGUUGGGUGUUUGUCCAUUCUCUUGCAGAGGGACUCGCCUUAAAGUAAUUGGCAGCCAGUGUUUUGGUUUUGAAGCGCAGCACAAGUCGCGAUUCAGAGCUAUACGCCCGCUUCCACAAGCCUUUUUCACUUUUGACCUCGGAUCAGGUAGGGAUACCCGCUGAACUUAAGCAUAUCAAUAAGCGGAGGA
rnacentral:misc_RNA from 1 species